rnacentral:rRNA from 1 species
CCUACGGGUGGCAGCAGUGGGGAAUAUUGGGCAAUGGGCGCAAGCCUGACCCAGCGACGCCGCGUGAGGGAAGACGGUCUUCGGAUUUGAAACCUCUUUCAGCAGGGAAGACAAACGGACGGUACCUGCCGAAGAAGCCACUACUAACUACGUGCCAGCAGCCUCGGUAAUACGGAGGUGGCAAGCGUUAUCCGGAAUUACUGGGUGUAAAGGGUGUGUAGGCGGGUUUGCAAGUCAGAUGUGAACAUUAUGGGCUCAACCCAUAACCUGCGUCUGAAACUACAGAUCUUGAGAGGGGGAGAGGUAAACGGAAGUCCGGGUGUAGCGGUGAAAGGCGUAGAUAUCGGGAGGAACACCAGUGGCGAAGGCGGUUUACUGGACCACAACGGAGGCUGAGACACGAAAGCGUGGGGAGCAAACAGGAUUAGAUACCGUGUAGUC